rnacentral:rRNA from 1 species
GACGUAGGAUGCAAGCGUUGUCCGGAUUUAUUGGGCGUAAAGAGCUCGUAGGCGGUUUGGCAAGUCGGGUGUGAAAACUCCGGGCUCAACUCGGAGACGCCACUCGAUACUGCUAUGACUCGAGUCCGGUAGGGGAGUGCGGAAUUCCUGGUGUAGCGGUGAAAUGCGCAGAUAUCAGGAGGAACACCGGUGGCGAAGGCGGCACUCUGGGCCGGUACUGACGCUGAGGAGCGAAAGCGUGGGGAGCGAACAGG